CAGAAUGCCAGUUGUUAGGGAGCAAGAAUGGGAGGUAGGCAUGGCCUUCGUGCCUGGCUUAUGGGCAUCCUUUAUUUACAUGCUGGCUUUCCAUAAAAAAGGGGAACAAUACAACACAAGAAUUAUUUUAUUCAUUUGUUUAUUUGAAACAUAUUUAUCCCACCAUUCAGCCCACCCCAAAAAAAGCUUCCAAUGUGGUUGACAAAGACCUGUGAGAAGACAGCCCCUGUCCUCAGGCUUACAAUCUAAGAUACACCACACAAAAGGAAAAGGGAUCCGGAGGGAGGAGGAAUAAUAAAGAUAAUAACACCCUCAGUUUUUUAGUAAGUUUUAAGAAUACUAGAGAGUAACCUUCUCUCGUUGGCUUCAGUGGAACUUUUUCCCCGAGUGGAAAUGUAUAACUCAGCACUGUACAGUUGUAACCCUACGUGCAUUUACCUGUAAGUAAAUCACAUAUAAUUUAAAAUUUCAGAAUCCACAUUAGGGUAAUACCUUUAUCAGGCUAAGGAAACUUGUGUUCUCCGGAAUUCUUUAUUGGACUAGAAUCUAGAUGGUAAGGAAAACAAAAAAGUGACUGUGGCGGGGGGAGCGAUGGUUGCGGUUGAAGCCAUGGAGUCUUGCAAUCAACAACUGCAAGAAUAAUUUGAUGAUGAGAGCAAUCAUAAAACGGUAAGGUAUCAUAAAGGUGAGCAGCAUUCAAAAGAACAUUUCAGUAUUAUAAAUCUGAUGACGUUGCACCUGGCAGCAGCAAAAAUAAGGAAGCUUGAACUGUUUCAUUUUGGCCCUAGAUGUCCUAACCACUGCUGCUAUAAGGUAAAGGUAAAGGGACCCCUGACCAUUAGGUCCAGUCAUGGCCGACUCUGGGGUUGUGGCGCUCAUCUCGCUUUAUUGGCUGAGGGAGCCGGCGUACAGCUUCCGGAUCAUGUGGCCUGCAUGACUAAGCUGCUUCUGGCGAACCAGAGCAGCGCACGGAAACGCCGUUUACCUUCCCGCCGGAGCAGUACCUAUUUAUCUACUUGCACUUUGACGUGCUUUCGAACUGCUAGAUUGGCAGGAGCAGGGACCGAGCAAUGGGAGCUCACCCCAUCGCGGGGAUUCGAACCACCAACCUUCUGAUUGGCAAGUCCUAGGCUCUAUGGUUUAACCCACAGUGCCACCCGUGUCCCUACUGCUACUAUAUCUGCUGCAAAUGAGCCAUGGAUCAAGUCGUCACGAUCAAAUGCCUAGGCCUCAGCCCAUGAGGCUGUAUGGGACACAUCUGUUCACCUGUCUAUCACCUGAUGUCUUGUGGCAUUAGACAUGACACAGGCAAAGCUUUGAACAGCACCAAAUUCAAAGACGUGUUGUGUGGCAUUGAGUGAUUGCAUAUCACUCACUCAAUGUGGGGCUGGCCUUGAAGCUGACCCAGAAACUCCAGCAGGUGCAGAAGGCCGCAGUGAGACUCCUUACAGGGUCCUUGCCAUGGAAUCACAUUCACCCGGUGCUAUGCCAGCUGCACUGGCUCUCGGUGGAGUACAGGAUCAGGUUUAAGGUGCUGGUUUUAACCUUUAAAGCCCUAUGCGGCCUAGGACACUAGUACCUAUCAGUUUUUCCUGAUGUUUAUUGGAAUCUCCUUUCUUGUAACUUGAAGCCACAGGUUCGAGUCCUACCCUCCAGAAUAGAGGAAAACAAGCUUGUUCCUUCUUUUAUGUGACAGCCCUUGAGAUGUUUGAAGAUGGCUGUCAUAAUCUCCUCUCAGUCUCCUCUUUUCUAGGCUGAACAUACCAGCUCCUUCAACCAUUCCUCAUAAGGCUUGGUUUCCGGACCCUUGAUCAUCUUGGUUUCCCUCCUCUGCACACAUUCCAGCUUGUCAAAAUCAAUACAGUGGUACCUCGGGUUAAGAACUUAAUUCAUUCCAGAGGUCCGUUCUUAACCUGAAACUGUUUUUAACCUGAAGCACCACUUUAGCUAAUGGGGCCUCCUGCUGCCGCUGCACCGCCACUGCGAGAUUUCUGUUCUCAUUCUGAAGCAAAGUUCUUAACCCAAGGUACUAUUUCUGGGUUAGCGGAGUCUGUAACCUGAAGCAUGUGUAACCUGAAGUGUCUGUAACUCAAGGUACCACUGUAUCCAUCUUAAAUUGGUGUAGUGAUGAUGGAAAUGCUUGGGGCAGGUGACAAAAAAUGCGGAGUCGAGGGUCAGUUGUGGGGGGAGUGAGAAAUGUCCCUAUUUUCAUGUGAGCAGUGUUGGAGGGUAUGUGAUUGACAUAAUGGAAUCCCUAUACCCCAACUCAUUCCUAGUGAAAGUUGUUGUUUUCUUUCCCAUGAUACCCAUGGUAAACUGUAGAGUAGCUCCUCAAAGCAAAGAACCGUGUGAUCUUGAUGACCUGCUAGAUGUUGGCUCUGGCCCUGGUUGACAAAUCUGCCUGUGCAACUUUCAGGCAUUGCCAGCUUCUAAUAGUGGGUGGUGCUGUGGUCUAAACAACAGAGCCUAGGGCUUGCUGAUCAGAAGGUCGGCGGUUCGAAUCCCCACAACGGGGUGAGCUCCUGUUGCUUGGUCCCAGCUCCUGCCAACCUAGCAGUUCGAAAGCACGUCAAAGUGCAAGUAGAUAAAUAGGUACCACUCUGGCAGGAAGGUAAACGGUGUUUCCGUGCGCUGCUCUGGUUCGCCAGAAGCAGCUAGUUAUGCUGGCCACAUGACCCAGAAGCUGUCUGCGGGCAAAAGCCAGCUGCAUCGGCCUAUAGAGUGAGAUGAGCGCGCAACCCCAGAGUCGUCCGCAACUGGACCUAACGGUCAUGGGUCCCUUUACCUUUUAACCGCAUCAAAUACUUUUCCAGUACACUGAUACACAGCCUCGAUUUUCUCUGCUCUCUAAUGGCUGUUUAGGAGGUUCCAUUAUUAUGGGAUGUUGAGAUGCUAGUGACUCACGUCCUCAGCACGAAGCCGAUGGGCUGGGUUAAAAGAAUUAUUGCAGAAUUUGUCACUUUUGUUUUUCUUUCCAAAAAGGUGGCUUUGCAUCACAAUAAGGAAAGAGGGGGGGUUAAUACAAUAGCCCCGAAAUGCAUAUUGCGUCAUCUUAUUUUGCAACAGAUGUCUCAAUUGCUGUGCAUGCACUUAAAUAGGUUCUCAGGAAAAAAGCGAGGUGGGGAAUUUACAGCUCAGUUGGCACAAUUUCCUUUGUUUCCACGAAGUUCCAUCUGCUGACGAUUUCACCCCGUCAAAGGUGUCAACUCGGCCAGGGUCUUUCCUUUGGGGCCUGGGCUGCUGCCGCAGGAAAACAAAGGAUGUUAGAUAGCCUCAAAAAGGCACACAAUCUCUGUUUAUACACGACCACUGCAGCUAGAGUGGUAUAUGCAGAAAAAAUGGAAAGAAAGGGAUACCCACGAAAGAAAUUGGGCAGAAUAAAUUGAUAGAAUACACAGAAUUAGUAACCAUGACCACGAAAUUAAGGAAUAAGUGUGAAUCAUGGAAAAGAGAUGAGUGAAAGUGUUUGGGGGAGUACCUUAGAAGGUAUAAUAGUCAAUUUAACCUACAAAUAGGAAUGAACAUAUGAGCAGCAGAUAACACUAAAUAAAGGAAGAUUUGAGAUGAAAAUGGGUGGAAUAAUUGAAUACGCAGCCGACAAAAGGCCACCUAGAAUGCCAUGGAGAGAUGGAUUGGGAAGUCCGAGGAUACGGGAUAAAUGAUUAAUAUUGUAUGAUGUACAUAUAAGUUGUAUAAAUGAAUGGAUGGAUGGAAAACAAAGGAUGUUGGGUAUCCCAAACUUGCUCUUCGUUAAAAAUUUCAUUUGCCAUGAUGCCGUAGAAAGUUUCCACGUCAUAUUCAAUAUCUGACCCAUUUCCAGCUUUGGGAUCAAGAAGGAAUUUUCACUUAGUCAAGUUGUCUAAUACCCCUAACCUUCUUCAGAUGUUUGCUUCUCGAUACGAUGUUUCAGGGUUCUAGAUCACAUGAGAAAGCUAUGUCUUUGUUUGACAAUCCAAGUGAGUCCAGCGAUUUUCCUUUGACACUCGCAAGGCCGAUCAUGAUCAGGAUUUGGCCCAUGGAGCCAAAAAAGUUCCCCACCUCUGCAUUCGUGCAAAGAUGUCUGCCUGAACAACAGGGUUCCUUUUCCUCUCCCUUUCCUGUGCCUCCCCAUUAUUUCCCAACCCUCCAGAGCAGAUUUUGGAGGUGGGGGGAGGGUGCGAGGAGAGGGAGUCCUGCUGUGCAGGUGGAAGCACUUUUUCCUUUUCUCUAUUUAUUGGUUACGUUGUUUUGCUGCUCUUCUUAUGGUAUGUAAAUAGUUUUUGUUUUACGGUGGUUGCAUGCCACCUUGAGGGCCUGCGUGGGCCAAGAAAUUAUGUAAGUAAGUCACUAAAUGAAUGAAUCCAAUACUUAGCUAAAUGCAUUUUGUCGUGAAAAGUAAUUCGCAGAUUUUGGGGUGUGUGUUUUUUGCUGAGACAGCCCUCAUCUGAAUCUCAGCAGGCCUGCAACAGGAAUUGAGUCACUCUUGAUACCUGGUGGGGAACUAAAUCUGUGGCAUGCUGCUGUUUUUGUUCUGCUUUCAUUUAGCUUUUAGAAGAUCUUAUUGACUGCCAGUCACAUUUUUUAUUGCUUUUAUGCAAACCACUUGGAGAUUUUUACUCUGUUAAGUGGAAUGCAUUUUUAAUAGAUAAAUAAAUACGGUACGUGGUUCUUUAAUGAACAUAGGAAGCUGCCAUCUAAUUCAGUACAGUGGUACCUCAGGUUACAUACACUUCAGGUUACAGACUCUGCUAACCCAGAAAUAGUACCUCAGGUUAAGAACUUUGCUUCAGGAUGAGAACAGAAAUCAUAUUCCGGCGGCGCUGCGGCAGCAGAAGGCCCCAUUAGCGAAAGUGGUGCUUCAGGUUAAGAACAGUUUCAGGUUAAGAACGGACCUCCGGAACGAAUUAAGUACCUAAACCGAGGUAUGCGGGUGGCGCUGUGGGUUAAACCACAGAGCCUAGGACUUGCCAAUCAGAAGGUCGGCGGUUCGAAUCCCAGAGACAGGGUGAGCUCCCGUUGCUCAGUCCCUGCUCCUGCCAACCUAGCAGUUCGAAAGCACAUCAAUGUGCAAGUAGAUAAAUAGGUACCACUCCGACAGGAAGGUAAACGGCGUUUCCGUGUGCUGCUCUGGUUCGCCAGAAGCGGCAUAGUCAUGCUGGCCACAUGACCCGGAAGCUGUACACUGGCUCCCUCGGCCAAUAAAGCGAGAUGAGCGCCGCAACCCCAGAGUCGGCCACAACUGGACCUAAUGGUCAGGGGUACCUUUACCUUUACCACUGUAAUACCUACACUCCCACCUGUCCCUAGAGAUGCUGGGGAUUGAAGCUGGGGCCAUGCAAAAGAGAUGCUCUACCACUGAGCUACACUCCCUCACCGCUCCCUCUGUUCAGUAUGAAAGGAUAUCCUUUGGACAGGCUCUUUGAAAGCCCAUGUGCCAAGAGAUCAGUUCUAAUGUGUUCUACAGAGUUGUGUGGACAAAGAGAAACAACAGAGCAUGUGCUUCUCCAGUGCCUAUUAUAAAGACAUUUGUAUUAGCCUCAUCUCCCCACUACUCCAUAAGUAUCCAGGGUGCACAGGACAAUUCUAUACCUCCCUGCUGCUUUCAGAUACCAACCCUGCUACAACAUACAAUGUCGCCAGGUUCUGCAGAGCAGCGUUCAAAAUUCGUCGCAUGAUGACCUGUGCCACAAACUAGAUUGAAUGAACACUCAUAUCAGAGUGCUUUUGUAAAUUUCUUUGUAAAUUGGUAGUCAAAGCCUUUAUAUACUAACCUUUUACACUCUUCCAUAUCCAUUUAAUGGGACGCGGGUGGCGCUGUGGGUUAAACCACAGAGCCUAGGACUUGCCGAUCAGAAGGUCGGCGGUUCAAAUCCCUGCGACGGGGUGAGCUCCCGUUGCUCGGUCCCUGCUCCUGCCAACCUAGCAGUUCGAAAGCACGUCGAAGUGCAAGUAGAUAAAUAGGUACCGCUCCGGCGGGAAGGUAAACGGCGUUUCCGUGUGCAGCUCUGGUUCGCCAGAAGUGGCUUAGUCAUGCUGGCCACAUGGCCCAGAAGCUGUCUGCGGACAAACGCUGGCUCCCUCGGCCAAUAAAGUGAGAUGAGUGCCGCAACCCCAGAGUCGGUCACGACUGGACCUAAUGGUCAGGGGUCCCUUUACCUUUACCUUUUAUCCAUUUAAUGCUCCUAUCCCUUCUUUUAGAUUCUUUUAGAUUCUUAUAGUCUUUUACAUAUACCUUCUGUUUUAAUAACUUCAUAUUUCCAAAAUGUUCUAUAGAUUUUAAAUGAUUCUACCCCACCCUACUUAUGCUGGUCUAUGACCAUAAUAAAGAUUUGAUUGAUUGAGAGUUGUGUCAGAGACAUCUCCCACGGUCUUUAUGGUGCCACGCAGAAUGCUUGCUGGAACGUUGAAUGGCGCCCAGGGAGAGCUUCACUUUCCCCAAACUGCGCAACUGGUUCCAUCCUCCCAGCCUGAAUUUCACGAAGGGGGGUCUGAAACCGGAGCACGCAACAUGCUUCGACGGUCCAAUGUUUGCCGAAGAAGGCCAGGGCUGGCAACGACGAGAAUGCAAAGCCUAGCAUAGCAUUCUCCGGGGUUACUGCGAACUGCCUAUUUGAAAACAGCAGUGUCCUCUGAGCAGUUAUGCUCUCUUGUCAUUUUUCAUUUCCUCAGGUGCCUGUCAGAUAUCUGUCAGCCGCAGUGUGUGCUUGGAGAGAGACCCUGCUUCCCAGUCUUCCAGCGCUCGUCUUCACUCUUGACUAAACAUCCUGAGGUUGCCUCUGCCGGAAUGAGAGGAAGUUAGCACUGCAUGAGCAGUUCCACAGCAGCCAACUGAGCAAACACAGAGCUCAGAAUCAGUGACUUGGAAGAGAAGUGGAGCAUCUAUCCCAGAUCCAUAAGCUGGAUGGAUUCCCUGGAUCAAAAUGAAAGCCUAGAGAUGAUGGCAUCCUCCUUUUUAAAAAAAAUCCUGGAAUGCCAUGAUUAAGACUAACCUCCCUUCACCAGCAUGUGUCAACAACUUGUACCGUUCCCAAAUGUUCAUUGCUUGCUUGUAAACAAUAAUUAAAUCAGCAUUUGUGUCUCCCCACAUCUGUAAUUCAAAU
rnacentral:lncRNA from 1 species